rnacentral:misc_RNA from 1 species
GAUGAAGAACGUAGCGAAAUGCGAUAAGUAAUGUGAAUUGCAGAAUUCAGUGAAUCAUCGAAUCUUUGAACGCGCAUUGCGGCCGCCAGUAUUCUGGCGGGCAUGCCUGUCUGAGCGUCAUUUCAACCCUCAUGCCCCUAGGGCGUGGUGUUGGGGAUCGGCCAAAGCCCGCGAGGGACGGCCGGCCCCUAAAUCUAGUGGCGGACCCGUCGUGGCCUCCUCUGCGAAGUAGUGAUAUUCCGGAUCGGAGAGCGAUGAGCCCCUGCCGUUAAACCCCCAACUUUCCAAGGUUGACCUCAGAUCAGGUAGGAAUACCCGCUGAACUUAAGCAUAUCAAUAAGCGGAGGA